UCCUCCCCGUUCGACAGACAGCCGCAUCUUCUGGUGCAGUGCCUGCCGCGACCCCGAGCGAGACACCAUGGUGAAUGUCGGAGUGAACGGAUUUGGCCAUAUUGGGCUCCUGGUCACCAGGGCUGCUUUUACCUCUGGCAAAGUGGAUAUUGUCGCCAUCAAUGACCCCUUCAUUGUUCUCAACUACAUGGUGUAUAUGUUUCAGUAUGAUUCUACCCACGGCAAAUUCCACCACAUGGUCAAGGCUGAGAACAGGAAACUUGUCAUCAAUGGGAAGUCCAUCUCCAUCUUCCAGGAGUGAGAUCCCGCCAACAUCAAAUGGGGUGAUGCUGGUGCUGAGUAUGUUGUGGAGUCCACUGGGGUCUUCACCACCAUGGAGAAGGCUGGGCAAUGCCUCCUGCACCACCAACUGCUUGGCUCCUGUAGCCAAAGUCAUCCAUGACCACCUUCGGCAUCAUGGAGGGCCUCAUGACCACCAUCCAUGCCAUCACUGCCACCCAGAACACUGUGGACGACCCCUCUGGGAAGCUGUGGCGUGACAGCUGAGGGGCUGCCCAGAACAUCUUCCCUGCUUCCACUGGCACUGCCAAGGCUGUGGGCAAGGUCAUCCCUGAGCUGAACGGGAAGCUCUCUGGCAUGGCCUUCCAUGUCCCCACUCCCAACUGUCAGUUGUGGAUCUGACCUGCCGCCUGGAGAAAGCUGCCAAAUAUGAUGAGAUCAAGAAGUAGUGAAGCAGGCAUCAGAGGGCCCCUCAAGGGCAUCCUGGGCUACACUUGAGGACCAGGCUGUCUCCUGUGACUUCAACAGUGACACCCACUCUUCCAUCUUCGAUGCUGGGGCUGGAUGCCCUCAAUGACCACUUCAUCAAGCUCAUUUCCUGGUAUGACAAUGAAUUCAGCUACAGCAACUGGCUGGUGGUUCUCAUGGUCCACAUGGCCUCCAAGGAGUAAGAGCCUCCUGGACCACCAGCCCCAGCAAGAACAAGAGGAAGAGAGAGGCCCUCAGCUGCUGGGGAGUCUCUGCCCCAACUUAAUCCCCCAACACAAUGAGAAUCUUCUGACCUCCAAUUUACAUCCCAGGCCCCUAGGAAGGGGAGGGGCUUCAGGAGCCCUACCUUGUCAUGUACCAUCAAUAAAGUAUACUGUACUCCCCCCUCA
rnacentral:lncRNA from 1 species